GAUGAACGCUGGCGGCGUGCCUAAUACAUGCAAGUCGAGCGAACGGACGAGAAGCUUGCUUCUCUGAUGUUAGCGGCGGACGGGUGAGUAACACGUGGAUAACCUACCUAUAAGACUGGGAUAACUUCGGGAAACCGGAGCUAAUACCGGAUAAUAUUUUGAACCGCAUGGUUCAAAAGUGAAAGACGGUCUUGCUGUCACUUAUAGAUGGAUCCGCGCUGCAUUAGCUAGUUGGUAAGGUAACGGCUUACCAAGGCAACGAUGCAUAGCCGACCUGAGAGGGUGAUCGGCCACACUGGAACUGAGACACGGUCCAGACUCCUACGGGAGGCAGCAGUAGGGAAUCUUCCGCAAUGGGCGAAAGCCUGACGGAGCAACGCCGCGUGAGUGAUGAAGGUCUUCGGAUCGUAAAACUCUGUUAUUAGGGAAGAACAUAUGUGUAAGUAACUGUGCACAUCUUGACGGUACCUAAUCAGAAAGCCACGGCUAACUACGUGCCAGCAGCCGCGGUAAUACGUAGGUGGCAAGCGUUAUCCGGAAUUAUUGGGCGUAAAGCGCGCGUAGGCGGUUUUUUAAGUCUGAUGUGAAAGCCCACGGCUCAACCGUGGAGGGUCAUUGGAAACUGGAAAACUUGAGUGCAGAAGAGGAAAGUGGAAUUCCAUGUGUAGCGGUGAAAUGCGCAGAGAUAUGGAGGAACACCAGUGGCGAAGGCGACUUUCUGGUCUGUAACUGACGCUGAUGUGCGAAAGCGUGGGGAUCAAACAGGAUUAGAUACCCUGGUAGUCCACGCCGUAAACGAUGAGUGCUAAGUGUUAGGGGGUUUCCGCCCCUUAGUGCUGCAGCUAGCGCAUUAAGCACUCCGCCUGGGGAGUACGACCGCAAGGUUGAAACUCAAAGGAAUUGACGGGGACCCGCACAAGCGGUGGAGCAUGUGGUUUAAUUCGAAGCAACGCGAAGAACCUUACCAAAUCUUGACAUCCUUUGACAACUCUAGAGAUAGAGCUUUCCCCUUCGGGGGACAAAGUGACAGGUGGUGCAUGGUUGUCGUCAGCUCGUGUCGUGAGAUGUUGGGUUAAGUCCCGCAACGAGCGCAGCCCUUAAGCUUAGUUGCCAUCAUUAAGUUGGGCACUCUAAGUUGACUGCCGGUGACAAACCGGAGGAAGGUGGGGAUGACGUCAAAUCAUCAUGCCCCUUAUGAUUUGGGCUACACACGUGCUACAAUGGACAAUACAAAGGGCAGCGAAACCGCGAGGUCAAGCAAAUCCCAUAAAGUUGUUCUCAGUUCGGAUUGUAGUCUGCAACUCGACUACAUGAAGCUGGAAUCGCUAGUAAUCGUAGAUCAGCAUGCUACGGUGAAUACGUUCCCGGGUCU
rnacentral:rRNA from 1 species